CUUGGUCAUUUAGAGGAAGUAAAAGUCGUAACAAGGUCUCCGUAGGUGAACCUGCGGAGGGAUCAUUACACAAAUAUGAAGGCGGGCUGGAACCUCUCGGGGUUACAGCCUUGCUGAAUUAUUCACCCUUGUCUUUUGCGCACUUGUUGUUUCCUGGGCGGGUUCGCUCGCCACCAGGACCACACCAUAAACCUUUUUGUUAAUGCAAUCAGCGUCAGUAAAAAGUAAUAAUUAUUUUACAACUUUCAACAACGGAUCUCUUGGUUCUGGCAUCGAUGAAGAACGCAGCGAAAUGCGAUACGUAGUGUGAAUUGCAGAAUUCAGUGAAUCAUCGAAUCUUUGAACGCACAUUGCGCCCUUUGGUAUUCCAAAGGGCAUGCCUGUUCGAGCGUCAUUUGUACCCUCAAGCUCAGCUUGGUGUUGGGACUCGCGGUAACCCGCGUUCCCCAAAUCGAUUGGCGGUCACGUCGAGCUUCCAUAGCGUAGUAAUCAUACACCUCGUUACUGGUAAUCGUCGCGGCCACGCCGUAAAACCCCAACUUCUGAAUGUUGACCUCGGAUCAGGUAGGAAUACCCGCUGAACUUAAGCAUAUCAAUAAGCGGAG
rnacentral:rRNA from 1 species